AUGCUGAGCUCCAGGGAAUGUCAGGGAGAUGCCAGCAGAGCAGAGCCAGGGUUAUUUGGGGAACAGGACAGUCAGAAAUCAAGCUGGAGCCGUUUCACAAUGCCAGAGAGGCUCGGGAUUUGUUUACAGAGCCCGAUGACAGCGGCUCAGCGCCGAGGGAAAAUGAGGAAUGAUGCAAGAAGGCAGGAAUGGACAAUGGGAGACGGCAGCAUGGAAUCCUCACGGAAAAAAACUCUUCUGAGCGCUCAUAAAACAUCCCCGGAGACAAGAGAGCUGGGAGAGAGGAGCUUUCCGGGCUGUCCCAAACAGCAGGAAUGGCCUGAACUUCAUGGAUCUCCUGACCAAGGCCUUUGGGAGUUCUGACCAAGACAUGUUUCCUUUAAGAGGAGGGAAUUUGAAGACUUAAAAACUUUCUUGCCAUGAAUCUGACCCAAACCAGCUGCCAGGUAUUUGCUGUGCACGGAGAGAGCGUGUGGAGGUGGAAUCCCCGUCCCUGGAGGUGUCCGAGGAGCUCCUGGGCUGGUGACAAGGUGGGGAUUGGGCACAGCUUGGACCCCAUGAUCCUGGAGGGCUUUUCCAACCUCAGAGAUUUUGGGAUUCUGUUGCUGUACCUCAGGUGUUGAUGCUGGACCUUCAUCCAGGGCUUCCCACAGCGUGGAUCUCAUGGCAGCGAUCCCAAAUGUUCCGUUUGGAAAAAAAAGAAGAAAUUUGGGCCAGGCCAGGUCCCAAAUCCCUCUCCUGAGGCAGCUGAGUAGAUUCCAGCCCUGCCAGCAUUCCAAUCACCUCCUUGCCCCUGUUCAAGGAGCUCCAGCAGCUCCGUGUGCGCCCAGGGAAGGACAGACACGUGCUGGGAUGACGCGAUGGGACAUCUGAGAUGGCCAAAAAGGACGAGUUUAUCUCUGCCAAGGCUCUGGGGUGCUCUGCUGUACGGAAUGGGAUUCCUGAGUGUGGAAAUAGAUGGAUUAAUGCUUCACCAGGCAUCCUGGCAGGCUUGGGUGAGGUUUUGGGUGGAUGUGUUUAAUAAUUUCUCUUUAACCCUAAACCAGUCACGUCUUGGAGAGGGACUUUGGACAAGGGGAAUGGCCUGAGGAUGAAGGAGGGCAGGGUUAGAUAGGAUAUAAGGGAGAAAUUCCUCCCUGUGAGGGUGGGAAAGCCCAGGAAUAGAAUUCCAGAGAAGCUGUGGCUGCCCCUGGAUCCAUGGAAGUGUCCAAGGCCAGGUUGGAGCACCCUGGGAUAGUGGGAAGUGUUCCUGCCCAUGGCAGGGGUGGAAUGGGAUGAGCUUUAAGGUCCCUUCUAACCCAACCCAGUUGGGGAUUCCAUGGUUCCACAUCUCCCACAGGCUUUUAAACCCUGGAGAAACAAACUGCCUUUAUCCUGGCUUUUUUUACCUCUGGCAAGGACAAACUGCUCCAUUUCCAUAAAAAACUGCUACAAAAUUCCUCUUCACCUCCAAUCUCGAUUUGUGAUUAACAGCUCAGCUCUCUGGCCUGCAACCGCUUUUCCUCUCCCAAUGUUGCCGGAAGACUCCUGGAAAAUCCCUCCACGGCCUGGGAAGAAGAGCAGGCAACAUUGACACCUGCUGUCGGGAAUUUUAAUAGCCACACACUCCAGCAGAGCCGAGAGCAUGAAAACAGCCAAUAAAAACCCAAGUUGAAACA
rnacentral:lncRNA from 1 species